GCCCAGCUAGCUCAGUUGGUAGAGCACAAGACUUUUAAUCUCAGGGUUGUGGGCUCGUGCCCCACGUUUGGCG
rnacentral:tRNA from 1 species